CCUACGGGAGGCAGCAGUGGGGAAUUUUGGACAAUGGGGGCAACCCUGAUCCAGCCAUGCCGCGUGAGUGAAGAAGGCCUUCGGGUUGUAAAGCUCUUUCGGCCGGGAAGAAAUCGCAUAGGCUAAUACCCUGUGUGGAUGACGGUACCGGAAUAAGAAGCACCGGCUAACUACGUGCCAGCAGCCGCGGUAAUACGUAGGGUGCGAGCGUUAAUCGGAAUUACUGGGCGUAAAGCGUGCGCAGGCGGUUUAGUAAGACAGGCGUGAAAUCCCCGGGCUCAACCUGGGAACUGCGCUUGUGACUGCUAAGCUAGAGUACGGCAGAGGGGGGUGGAAUUCCACGUGUAGCAGUGAAAUGCGUAGAGAUGUGGAGGAACACCGAUGGCGAAGGCAGCCCCCUGGGCCGAUACUGACGCUCAUGCACGAAAGCGUGGGUAGCAAACAGGAUUAGAUACCCUGGUAGUCCACGCCCUAAACGAUGUCAACUAGGUGUUGGGAGGGUAAAACCUUUUAGUACCGGAGCUAACGCGUGAAGUUGACCGCCUGGGGAGUACGGCCGCAAGGUUAAAACUCAAAGGAAUUGACGG
rnacentral:rRNA from 1 species